rnacentral:tRNA from 1 species
GCGUCCUUAGCUCAACUGGAUAGAGCCGCCGACUUCUACUCGGCUGGUUGGGGGUUCGAGUCCCUCAGGGCGCGCCA